rnacentral:rRNA from 1 species
AACGAACGCUGGCGGCAGGCUUAACACACGCAAGUCGAACGGUCUCUUCGGAGGCAGUGGCAGACGGGUGAGUAAUGCAUGGGAAUCUACCGUUCUCUACGGAAUAACUCAGGGAAACUUGUGCUAAUACCGUAUACGCCCUUUUGGGGAAAGAUUUAUCGGAGAAUGAUGAGCCCAUGUUGGAUUAGCUAGUUGGUAGGGUAAAGGCCUACCAAGGCGACGAUCCAUGGCUGGUCUGAGAGGAUGAUCAGCCACACUGGGACUGAGACACGGCCCAGACUCCUACGGGAGGCAGCAGUGGGGAAUAUUGGACAAUGGGCGCAAGCCUGAUCCAGCCAUGCCGCGUGAGUGAUGAAGGCCCUAGGGUUGUAAAGCUCUUUCACCGGUGAAGAUAAUGACGGUAACCGGAGAAGAAGCCCCGGCUAACUUCGUGCCAGCCGCCGCCGUAA